rnacentral:tRNA from 1 species
GCUAGCUCAAUCGGCUUAGAGCGUGAGACUUUUACUCAAGGUUGCGGGUUCGAGUCCCGCGUUUACA